ensembl:lncRNA
GGAAGGAGAGCCAAGCACGAAAUACGGUACCGCAGAAAACAAUUUUUGGGCGAAAGAUAAGGAGGAGAGAAUAAAUGUCCUGGGCAGACCAGAAGAAUAGGAAGAAUGAAAAGAUCUCAAAAUGUUGAGAAUUUCUUCCUUAAGAAGGCUAAAAUACAACCAGAAGCAGAGAGCAAUGUCAGGGAAAGGUGGACUGAGCAGCAGUCAUCAUUGUCACCUGUGAGUUCUACAAAUGAAGGUAUGUAUGAGAAUGAAUAAGGAAAAUGCAAAGAAGGGAUGUUUAUAUUGUCAAUUGUUCAACUGAUCCAUAGGGGACAAAUCUUAAUAUUUGGGAAUAAAUAAUUAACUAAGCAAAUAUAUGUAUUGUGGUACAUAAUUG